GCAACCUACCUUUUACAGGAGUAUAGCUCGGGGAAGCCCGAAUUAACCCUCCAUAAGAUCACAUUCAGGCAUCUGGAAGUGAUUAAAACUGCGGUGGUAAAAGAUGGGCAUGCGUUUCAUUAGUUAGUUGGCAGUGUAACGGACUACCAAGACGAUGAUCAAUAGGGGACCUGAGAGGGUGAUCC
rnacentral:rRNA from 1 species